UACGUAGGGACCAAGCGUUGUUCGGAUUUACUGGGCGUAAAGGGCGCGUAGGCGGCUUGACAAGUCACUUGUGAAAUCUCCGGGCUUAACUCGGAACGGCCAAGUGAAACUGUCAUGCUAGAGUGCAGAAGGGGCAAUCGGAAUUCUUGGUGUAGCGGUGAAAUGCGCAGAUAUCAGGAGGAACACCGGUGGCGAAGGCGGGUCUCUGGGCAACAACUGACGCUGAGGAGCGAAAGCGUGGGGAGCGAACAGG
rnacentral:rRNA from 1 species